GCGUAGAGAUCUGAAGGAAUACCGGUGGCGAAGGCGGCCCCCUGGACAGAUACUGACACUCAGAUGCGAAAGCGUGGGGAGCAAACAGGAUUAGAUACCUGGUAGUCCACGCCGUAAACGAUGUCUACUUGGAGGUUGUGGCCUUGAGCCGUGGCUUUCGGAGCUAACGCGUUAAGUAGACCGCCUGGGGAGUACGGUCGCAAGAUUAAAACUCAAAUGAAUUGACGGGGGCCCGCACAAGCGGUGGAGCAUGUGGUUUAAUUCGAUGCAACGCGAAGAACCUUACCUACUCUUGACAUCCAGAGAACUUUCCAGAGAUGGAUUGGUGCCUUCGGGAACUCUGAGACAGGUGCUGCAUGGCUGUCGUCAGCUCGUGUUGUGAAAUGUUGGGUUAAGUCCCGCAACGAGCGCAACCCUUAUCCUUGUUUGCCAGCACGUAAUGGUGGGAACUCCAGGGAGACUGCCGGUGAUAAACCGGAGGAAGGUGGGGACGACGUCAAGUCAUCAUGGCCCUUACGAGUAGGGCUACACACGUGCUACAAUGGCGUAUACAGAGGGCUGCCAACCAGCGAUGGUGAGCGAAUCCCAGAAAGUACGUCGUAGUCCGGAUUGGAGUCUGCAACUCGACUCCAUGAAGUCGGAAUCGCUAGUAAUCGUGAAUCAGAAUGUCACGGUGAAUACGUUCCCGGGCCUUGUACACACCGCCCGUCACACC
rnacentral:rRNA from 1 species